rnacentral:rRNA from 1 species
AAUGGGCGGAAGCCUGAACCAGCCAUGCCGCGUGCAGGAAGACGGCCCUACGGGUUGUAAACUGCUUUUCUGCGGGAAGAACGGCCCCCACGGGUGGGGGUGUGACGGUACCGCAGGAAUAAGGAUCGGCUAACUCCGUGCCAGCAGCCGCGGUAAUACGGAGGAUCCGAGCGUUAUCCGGAUUUACUGGGUUUAAAGGGUGCGUAGGCUGUUCGCUAAGUCAGCGGUGAAAUGGCGCGGCUCAACCGUGCAGCUGCCGUUGAAACUGGCGGGCUUGAGUGGGUUCGAGGCAGGCGGAAUGCGCGGUGUAGCGGUGAAAUGCAUAGGUAUCGCGCAGAACGCCAAUAGCGUAGGCAGCUUGCCAGGCCCCAACUGACGCUGAGGCACGAAAGCGUGGGGAUCAAA